GAAUUUGGAGUCGCAAUCAACUAUGCGGCCCCGGAACAAGAUGGAGGGAGGGAUAGACCAGAAAGAGAGAUCAUAUAUAAAGGAAUCGAGAGAACAGCAGCGGUCAAUCAGUAUAUAUUUCCAUCGUCAAAAACUAUUUCUUUUGCUUUUCAGAAAAUGUAGUGUAAGGAAGGUCGGUGGUAGCAGCCAGGAAGGCGAGAGAGAAACUUUAAUACGAGGACAGCUCGCAGUGGACGGUCAAUAAUCAAAGAGGGGGCGAGAGGAGACCACGCGGCCAAGAAGACGAAGAUUGACUCACGCAAAUAAGAUCGAUUCGUGAGAGCUUCCUUACACAGGUAAGCUUCGAAGACAAGUUCUUCUUUCGCUUUGGAAAAAUAUAUUUCCGGCACACCCGGGUCUCUCUAGGUGGGCGAUGGAUAGACGAGCACUAGCCGAGCUCAGCGGAGUUUUAUAGCGAAAACAAAGACGAGAGUAAUCCGCAAGGCGAGACAACAGUGUUCCCGUGAGCCGGAAGAAAGAACAAACUACCAACAAUGGUUUUAGUCGGUUUUAGCAGUGGACUGGAUACUUCCACCGCCCUCGACAUCGAAGAGAUCGAAGUGAGAGCGAGGCAAGACUACUUUUUUGUGAUUGACAAGGCUGGCCCAUCCUCUUUUGUUCUUAGUUCCAACCAGUUUCGACAAGACCAACCGGAGCGAGAUAUGAAAGAGACAACAAUUCUUGUAUCAACAGCAAGUUUCUCGUGAACUUACAUGGAGGAUCGAGAAGGUACUUUCAAAAGCAAGC